UUCAACCCCUAGCCUGGGAAUCUCCGUGUGCCAUGUACACGGCCCUAAAAAGCAAAAAAUAAAAAAAAUAAAAAUAAAAAAAGAAAGAAAGAAAAAAGAGAAACACCCCCCUAUCACUAGGUAACUGAAGAGCUGGUACAUUGGUCAGGAGGUAUGGGACCUUCUUACUCUCCUCAGAAAGAAAGGGUGCAAGCCUCCUUCCCCCCACCCCACACAUCUUGCAAGGGGCCAGGUUCAGCCCUGCAGUUGAGACAGGUGCGUGGUAGCUGGCAGACUCCACCUGCCAAGGCUGUGGCAGGCGUCACCUUGGGCUCCUCUCCUGCCUCAGAUUACCAUGGGGAUUGGCCAUGUGCCCUUGACGGCUCAGGAAUUCAACAAAGCCCGGCAUCCAUCAGCCUACCUAAGCUUCCUACUGGGUCUGAUCCGUGCAGAUGAAAGGCUGCUCUCAGCUAGAGAGCUUCAAAGCCAGCUUAGAAGCAUGGCAGCCUGAAACAGGCUGGGGGUGGGGGGAUGGAGAUGGAGGGAGCUUUGGGCUUCCUUAGGUACAAAAGGGCGAGUAAGGAAGGCUGUAACUUACCCCUCCCCCUUGGCCCAUCUGGCCCUCAGGUAUCCCUGAAAGGUAAUCUCUGACCAGCGCUUUCCUUAGAGAUCCUAACUCAGACACAACAUAAAGGAAGAGGCCCCCUGGCUGGCAAACCAAACAGGCCAGGGGCUCAUCCCCUGACAUUUUGUAAACCCAGAGUAAAGAAGGUGUUGCUGGGCCAAGUUGUGAAGCACAGAGCUCAGCUCUGGGACAGACUUGGGUCUGAAUCCUACCGUUAGGUGCUCACUAGUUCUAUUACUAUGAGAGUUGCUGCCUAGCUUCUCCAAGUCUUUUAUCUGGAAAAUGUAACUCUAACAGCCUCACCAGCAGGGUUGUUGGUGAGGUUUAGAAGUGACGCCAUUCAGGGCCUGCACAGAGAGCACACAGAAGCCUCUGAACAACAGUGGCUAUUACUGGGAUUUUAUGUGUCUUUAGAGAGGGUGUCCUCAGGAAGCUGUCUUUGCUACAUAGUAAGUGCACCGCCUUCUGCAGAUGGUAAUUAAUGUUACCCCCCCUCCCCCAGAAGGUGGUGCAGGAGGAGGAAAGGGGUGGAGAUGGAGGAGGAGUGGGGAGGGUAGGAUGAGAAGGGGCAGAAGGGCCCUAAGGAAAAGGGGAGCAGAGAUAUUGUGAAGGGCAGAGAGCGUGACCUUGAGAUUGUAGAAUGACUGUCCCUCCUCACAAGAGACGCAUCCUUGUUUCAACUUCUUUUACUCUAAAACAGGGAGCUUUUUACUGAGAAAUGAGUGCUUUUGUUCCUUUCAUUUCCCUGCCUGUGUGUGUGUGUGUGUGUGUGUGUGUGUGUGUGUGUGUGUGUGUGUGUGUGUGUGUGUUCCUGGGCUGAGCAAUAAGGGAACAGAGUAGGAUCUGAAGACCUUCCAGGCAUGACACCCUUGGUCCAGCUGGGCACCCCUUCUGAUGGGUGUUUCCUCUGUGCCCUCAGCACAUUGGUUUGCAGGUGUCUUCUGUUCCCAGGGGUCUGUAAAGCCCAUCAGGGCAUAAAAGCAUCCGAGAGUACUGAGCGGUCUUGGACUCUGGAUAUUCCAGGUGGAGAUGGGAAGAAAAAGCAGCCCAGAGGCACCGCUUUCUGAGGAGGAGGAGAGCAGCAGGGUGGAAGGGAGAGGAAAUGUGUUGGUCCCCAGGCGGGGCUGGGGUUUCCUCCUCUGCUCCGGCUGUCUGGUUGUGGAACUUGGGCCUCUGUUCCUGUGACCAGGCGUGGGGGCCUUCUUUCCUCCAGGUCUGUUUGAGCCCUUCCAGCAAAGAUGGAGGCUGGGUUUCCUGCCCGUCUGGGUCUUGCCAUUCCUCACACCGUGCAGAAGACAGCAUGUUCUGUGCUGCCCUACGCUCAGGCAAGAGGAAGAGCGAGUGUGGGCUCACAAUGGCCAUUGUCACCAGUUUCUGCCAAGGAGGGACGGGCAGGGCCUCCAUUCUGUGUGGCGUUCUCUUCCUGGGUUUGGCAGGGCUGUGCUCAAGCCUCCAUACAUUGGGGGUGGGGGUGGGGAUGGGGUGGGAGUCCUAGUGCUCUCUGUGCCUAAGGGCCAGGUGCUUCAGAAGGGAGGGAGGGCAGGGUGCUGGUGGAGUUGUUCUCCGGAAGAAAUGUUUUCCUGAAAUGGCUCUGAAAUGACGUUUUGAUAUCAUUCUGCCUCUAAGAGAGACCAAGAAUGAGACUGUCUGAAAAGGCUUGGGAGGCAGUGGGGCUGCAGGAAUCCUGACCUGGUGGUUCAAUGAGGCCAUGAAGAGAAGGACUAUUACUGGGCACAGACUCUAGGCUAGGUCUAGAGAUUUUAUAAAGCUUUUAAUUAGUAUUAAUUAGUUUAAUUAUUAUUGUUGUAAAUCCUUAUGGCAGCUCUGUUGGGUAGAAGCUAUUAUCCCAGCAUUAAAAAAAAAAAAAUCUUAAGGCUCAGAGAGGUGAAGGAACCUGCCUAAAGUCACAAAGCUGGCAUAUGGUAAAGCUGGAAUUCAAACCAAGGCCGAUCUGACUCCAGAAAUAAGCUCAGAGUAAAGGCAGGUAGGAAAGGCCUUGGAGUGAUGGGGUGUCUAAGGGCAGGGAAGGGGGCCUAGAGUGGGGUAAGCCUCCCCUCGGCUCCUCUCAGCAAAGGCUUGUCAGCAGCUUGGUCCUGCUAAAUGGAAUGCCCUCUUUCUUGGCUUGAAGGUGAAAUGUUAGUUGGUGUAUUAUCUGGCCCACUGAACUCAGGAAGUUUUGAUUCCAGGUAGAGUAUAUGUAACAGAGUAAACCAAUGGGUGCUGAGACUUUCCAGUUCUACUCAAGCCUGAGUCUCAGGCACGAGACCUAUAUGGUCCAUUACAGAGAUCUAUACCCACCAACUGAAUCACAGCUCAGAGGGACACACACUCCCAGAACGGCAAAGCUCGAGGACGUUGUGACCUUCUGGUUGUUGGGUCAAGAUCAACCAGAAAUGGGGAGGUGGGGAAAGGUAUUGUGGUGUGGGUGGAAAGAAUACCAGGUUUGGAAUACUUGGACUUGGCUCUGAUCCCAGAUCACCAAUUAGUGUGGCUUUGGACAGGUCAAUUAACCUCCCUGGGCCUCAUUUUUCUGAUUAUAAAGUGUCUCUGAGAGAUUCUGUAGGGGAUUAAAAUGAGAUGAUGAAUGCAAAACACUUCUUGCAUCUAGUGCUAAACACAAGCAGGUGGCUAACAAGUGUUGGAUGAAUUGUCCUGAAAUGGGCAGAGAUGGGUGCUGGCUGCGUGGAAAAGACACAAGGCCCUGCUGAAGGCAUUUGUUCUGCCAAGAAGCCAUUGGUAAUGGGGAAGGCUUUGGGCAUGGAGGCUGAGCUUGUGGGCAGAAGAAGCUGGGUGGUUUGGGGGGAAGGAGGAAUCACCCACGUGGUAGUGUCCCCUUUGUCCCUCGCUGCCAGUUAGCUUUUGUCUAUUUUUCCUUUUAUGCCACUGACUCCCAUUCAAGGCCUUAGAGUUGGAAGUCUGUGUUCUGCAGCCACCUCCUAACUGGUCUCCUUGUUGCCAGUUCCUUUCCCUUUCCUCGAAUCUGAACUGCAUGCUACUCUCUCAUCCUCUUGCUCCUGGCUUAAAACCUCUCAUCUCUUCCCAUUAUUCAAAGGAUCAUAUACAAACUCCAUGGCACAUUAUUCCAGGGGCUCUAUCUUUCCAGUCUUCUCUUUUGCUACGUCAGCUUGCUCUAGCUCAUGGUCCCCUUCUCUCAUUUGGUCUUUGCAAAUCCUUCCCAGCUCCAAGUAUUGGCACACACACAUUCUACCUUGUUCAUUCAUUCAUUCAUACAUACAUCAAAUACGUACUGAUAACCUUCUAGGUGCCUGGCACAGUGCUGGGCAGCUGGAGACUGAGUUCCUAAGGAAAGCCCCUCCUCUUCUUACCUCCCACACUCUAAUGGAGUGUGUCUGCCCCUCCAUGGUGCUUGUCUAGCAUGCCAGUGGUCGAGACCACUCCACACUCUGUGUUUGCAUCCUCUACUGUGCCUGCAGCACUCUGGGUACUUGAAGGUGGUUUUGAGUCUGGCUCUGUUGGGUACUGUCUGUAUUCUUGGGCCAAUCACUUAACCCCAUUAGCCUCAGUGUCCUCAGCCAUAAGAUGGAUUAAAUAAUGAAAUAUGCAACAGGCCUGGCCCAUAAGUAAGUGCUCAGUAAAUAACAGCCUGGUACAUAUUUAUUGAUUAAUUAAAAAGAUGGAGCACUUCUUGCAAGACUUAGAAACAGUUCAAGAAGCACAGCGACAUUCAGGCUGUGCUGAGCCUAUGGCCAGCAUGGAGUGUUGCUAUAGGUUUUGUCUUAGAAGGUGCUGGAUAUCAAAGGGCUAAUGAGCUGCUACAGGGGAACGGGAGCUGGUGUGUGGGCCAAGACGGGGCAAGCAGAAGAGGGAAAAAUUCGAAGUGGCUAGGCCUGCCAAAGAGCCAGUCUAGAAGUUUCUUCUGCAUGUAAAAAAGGAAAGGUUCCUUGGCUCCGUGGUUCUAUUUUGAGCAGCAAACCUCCUAAGGCAGGAAUUAAGUUAGAGUUUAACUCCAGCUUGAACCUGUACAAGCAAGUUUCCCUCUGCAGAGGGAACAGCCUCCGGAGGCACCAUUCUGCCCUGGCUGCCCCUCCCCAUCUUGGCAGGAAGUUGGGGGAGGAGACAUGGCAGAAGGCAGAGUCCUUGGGAUUCAGUCAGUGGAGAAGAAUGAAGGAUGGCCUCACUCAAAUUUUCAGUAAACUGGAGCUUCUAGGUGAGACCUUGGCCAGAGAGACCUUUGUGAAGUGCACAGUUUGGGGGAACAUUUCUACUUUUCAACCUGAAUGAGCAAAGUGGCUGGUGAGUGACUGUCUUUCUGGUUAGAUCUCCACCGCAUGGGAAAAUUGGGAACCUACAACCCUGGACAGCUCCUGAACCCAGCUGGCUACUUUCUGUUAUGCUUUCAUACAAGUGAGGAGAGAGCCUUGAGAAUCAUGUGCUCACGAUUGAUUGUUCUGCUGCCUCAUCUGUGUUCUAGCUCCGCCUGGUAUGGUAUCCUUGAUGGCGGGAUGGCGCCCCUUUCCCUGGCCUUGGGAUUCAGGGUACGACCCAUACAAUUAGUGAAGAUCAACACAGCACAGACGGAACCACAUGUGCCUGCAAAGUAGUGGCAUCAACUGACUUGGAAUCAGGAGGCUUUUCCUUUUCUUGGGCAAGACCUUGGCAUCUGGGUAGCAGAUAUGACGACUGUAUGCAUUUGCCAGGAGGCUGCCUGUGUGAGUGUCUGCUAGUUGGUUGAGUACCAGACUAGUAAUACAUUAUCUGUGAGCCAAACACUGGGCGGCUGGCCUUGCUGGGGUGCUGGGUAGCCAUUUGAUGCUCCAUCUUAGCAUUUAUCACAGAUCCUAGUUAUAUGCCUAUCCGUGGAAUUAUGUUACCGAGGCCUGGCUCUCACACUCCCUAAUGGUGGCAGGCACUAGGUCUGGUUUUGCUCGUCCUUGUUCCCUGGUGCCUGGCACUUGGUAGGUGCUUUGUAGGUGUGUGUGGGAUAAAUGACGGAAAGCUUGUCCUCACUGCUGAGAAACUGACUCAAAGUGUACAUUAUACCAACAGGGUCUGUCUCCUUGGCUUUGUUUACAGGGAAUUGUAAAAAUUAUUAACUUUCAUUAAUUAUUAUUAGUGAAAGGCUGGAGAGAUUUUUGCCCUCUCUGUUCAGAAGCUUGUCUAGGAUGCCCUGGUUGGAGUUCAAAUGAGACUGACCAAGAAAUCACCAAGGGGAAUGUAGUCUUAUUACUGGAUAGCCAGAAGGGCCAGGUGUGGGUGACCCAGCCUCAAGGCUGCUGAUGGCUGGAGACUGAAGGCUGGAUGGGGGAAGAUGUGAGGCUCAGUAAAGAGUCUGAGAAGAUGUGUAGGAAGUCUCUGCAGUCACAUUCAGGGUGGGGCCAGAGGGAACCAGAGGCAGUGCCUCUUAGGGCUUUGCUCCCUAGCCUCAUGGGGAUUGUGCCAUGCAUGUCCUUGAUGCUUCAAGACUUGACACCCUUAGCCUCACCUUGCUUCACUGGACAACCUGCUCAGGUGGAGCCCCCAAACUGGCAGCGACAGCCAAACACACUUAAGCACAGUGCCAACAAGGAACCCUUGAGUUAUCGGUUGUUAGAGCCACUGGUAAUUUAGAGAUAAUCUAGACCAAAUUUCUGAAGAGGAACUGAAGGGAGGGGAGUUCCCUGGUAGCCUAGUGGUUAAGGACUUGGUGUUGUUGCUGCUGCGGUUUGGGUUACUGCUGUGGCACAGGUUCAAUCCCUGGCCUAGAAACUUCUGCAUGCUGUGGGUGUGGCUAAAAAAAAAAAAGGUCAAGAGGGUAAAAUUCUAAAUUUGGCCCUUUUUUGUAUACUAAAUACUUAUCACCUUCCACAUAUCACUUAACAAUACUUCUGACAACUACAGAUCACAUGCUCACCACAUUCCAGGCGUUCUGCUAAGUGCUCUACAUGGAUGAUCUUAUUUAACCCUCAAAACAAGGUGAUGCUGCUGAGGGAGAGAAACUACAAUUGUUUCCAUUUCGUGAGAGUUGAAAUGGAGGCUUAGAGAGGUUCAAUGACUCAACUACAUCACACAGCUAGUGGCGGGGAGGCCUGGGUUUUCUAACUUUUUUUCCCCCCAACUUCUAGUUCAAUAGUUAGUUCUUUGCUCUACACUGACUCUCAACUACAAGUCCCCUAGGCUAUAUCUGCAUUGCUUAUUUGAAGAUAGCCAGCACAUCUCACUUAUCAAAUGAGUUUCUAAUGGUUCUGUGAAACAAAAUUCUGUCUUACAAAUAUUUGCGUUAUACUCUUCAUAAGACUUUUUUUUUUUUUCUUCAAGAUUUUUCACUGAGUGCCUGUUCCUGUCCAGCUACAGAAUCUACUGCCCGCUGUACUGACAGACCAAAGGUGAGAUUUCUCCCCCUCUCCCUCCCUCUGGCAAACAUUUCUGUAGAACAAUGUGAGCCAGGCAGGAUGUUAGACUUUGAAGGGGACGUAAAGAUGAAGACCAUGCUCCCUGUUUUCCAGGUACUCGCAGGGGAAAUUUAUAAUGGGGAUGCACAUGUCUAUGAGACAAGGCAACCCAUAAUUGGUGCACUCUCAAAAUGGAAAGCAAAAUUAAAUGCUCUAGGAAUCCAGAGGAUGGACUCAUUUCCACAGGAGCCACCACACGCUUCAGGAAGAAUAUGGCCCUUGAGUUUCCACGAUGUAUCCUUUGCUCCCACUAUUCUCUUCUGACUACUCCCUCACCUCCAAUCCCAGUGACAUUGCCAGGGAGUAACCAGUCCCAACAAAUGAAGAGACUGCAGAGAGAGAUCCUGACCUUCUCAGCCACUGGCCUAUAAAUUGUGAGGCAAAACACACUGAAAUAAAGAAGAAACCUGCCGUAUAGUUCUAUUCAAGGAGUCCACUAGAUCAAAAUCUUGCCACACCUUAAUUCUGUGGAGCUGUAAGGAACCUAUAUUCUACAAGCACCUAUGUGAUUGUCAGAUUUGCCUAUUUAUUGAUAAUGAAAACUGAAACCCAAGAAGGUGAAAGGACUUGCCCCAGCAUCACACUCUAGUGAGAGGCAGAGCGUAGAUUGGAAUCCAGGUCUCUUGCCUCCAAGGCCAGUGCUUUUCCACUAAAAUGGGUUGCUUCUUUUGCUUUUCCUCAUGAAUGGCUCAUCUUAAAUGAGAUCAUGGCCCUUUAAGAAAGCUUUAUGCUGGUGUCUCUGCAAAGCCCAGAAACCAAGGCUCCCUCCUCAGCCUCUGCUCUGAUCAGCUCAAGUCCUCAUCUAAACAACAGGAAGUAGCCUCGUUUUUAGCUCUGAAAGCACAUUCUUGGGGUGGGAAAGGGGGGUUUGGGGAAGAAAGUUCCUGUACAUGAUGGUCAAGAGCGAUCAGCAGACAAAUUACUCUUGCUUGAAGAAGGGGAAGAUACAUGAUAAGGCAUGUAAGGGGAAGAGGACCAUCAUCCUUAAGCCUUAACCAGAACACACCCUCAGCCAGAGCUCCCCCAAGCUCCUGGGAGAGGAGAGGGGGAUUCUGCCCUCAUCCUGGAGGCCAGAGUGGGGGCUAGGGUGGGAACACCAGGGUGGGAAAAUUGGCAGGAACUUUCUAUAACCUCCGAUGCUUCCUCCACCCUCUGCCAGCACCCGCAACUUCCCCUGCCAAGGGAGGAAGGAGGAACACAUGAUUCAACUCAAUAAUUUACACAAAUGGAAAAGCUUACUGUGUGAAAUAAAGGGGACCUAAGAGAAAAAAAUUUCCCGUGUCCUGUCUCAAAGCCAGAGGUAUGGAGAUGACUGCUUUGGAAUAUAACAAUCUGAUUGUCUAAUACAUAGGUCUGAAAUAAGUCAGGAACCACUCCCUUCAAUGGUUAUCCAAGUUUUGUUCUACUGCUGAGAUCCACAUUCAGCCUUAGGACACACAACCUGAGAUAUCAAAGAACCCAGGCCCAAAUUCAGAGACACUUGUCUAUGAUGGUGGUUCUUGAAACUGGCAGCCCAUCGGAUUGUCUGGGGGAACUCAUUACAAAUUUAGAUUCCCAGGAACCAACCCAGAGAUUGAUUAGGGAGAUCUGGGCUGGGGCCCAGGACUCUUCAUUUUUGAUAGGCAGGUCUGGGUUUUUCAAAUUUUUUAAAAUUUUUUUGUCUUUUUAGGGCCGUGCCCAUGGCAUGCGAAGGUUCCUGAGUCAAAUUG